UAGUGAGUUUGAUCCUGGCUCAGAACGAACGCUGGCGGCAUGCCUAACACAUGCAAGUCGAACGAGACCUUCGGGUCUAGUGGCGAACGGGUGAGUAACACGUGAGUAACCUGCCCUUGACUCUGGGAUAAGCCUGGGAAACUGGGUCUAAUACCGGAUAUGACUGAUCAUCGCAUGGUGGUUGGUGGAAAGCUUUUGUGGUUUUGGAUGGACUCGCGGCCUAUCAGCUUGUUGGUGGGGUAAUGGCUCACCAAGGCGACGACGGGUAGCUGGUCUGAGAGGAUGAUCAGCCACACGUGGGACUGAGACACGG
rnacentral:rRNA from 1 species